AGAAGCCUCCCUACACUUCUGAAACUCUUCUCUCUCCCUCUCACGCGUUCUCUCCACUCUCUCUCUCCCUCACGUUCUCUCCCUCUCUCUCUCUCUCAAGCCUCCUUUCCUCUCCCUCACACCUCUCAAACCUUUCAUCUAAACUCCAAAAUAACUCGUCGAUGAUGCUUCUGGAUCCCUAAAUACCUGUUCUGGACAAAGAAAACGUGAGAAACAGAGCUGGAACGACGAGUUCAUGAAGCUGUCCAAAUUCCGGCGAAGAAACGAACUUGCAACUGCCCCUUUCUCUCAGCCCGUGGAGACCCAGCUUGGGAGACAACCACCAUCGAGUUCAUGAGGUUGAGACGAAGACGGCCCUGCCCUCCGUCUCCGCCUCCGCGCCGGCCGCCACCAUCUUCUCCGGCGAGGUUCGCCGGAGAAUGUCUCAGAAUUUGAUAUCGACGCCUUACUCGGCCAGGAUGGAUCUCCAUGUGCCGAAUAUCGUAGAUGAGUUCGUGAGUCCCGAUGGAUGGAGUGUAACAAUAACAGCUAGUAGGAUUCAGCUGUGAGGAGAUGGACCUGGAGUAGGACUGACACGACCAUGACCAAUCCUCUGCUAGAUGACCCUACACCUUAGAAGACUUUCCCCUUAGACCUAAGAUCAGACCUUGAUGUUAACCUUUAUGUAUAAUAUGAAGUGAAGAUGUUAUCACUUGCUACUAUGGGCGGUUUCAUGUAAUAUAGCCCAAACCUUAUGAUGUAUAAUACUGAAUAAAUAAGCGAGUGAUGUAAUAUAAGUGUGUGUUUCUCAAA